ensembl:lncRNA
CGGAUGCUGACGCUGUUGUUAUGUGUCACGUUGCACACGAUGUCAGUAAAAAGUUAUCAUUGCUGUUCAGUCCUCACGACUUAUUUAGAAGGAGGCUUCAAAAUGCUGUUCCACAAGGUCCUCAACGUCUCCUGAAUACAUUGUGUCUGGGACAAUGUACUCCUCAUAAUCGACCCCCAGAAGCACGAUCACGCCCAUUCCGGAAGACACUCCGAUCACCUCCACCGUCUCCUCAAUGAGCCGCCUUUCUGAAACCUGUGUUUUUACAGAGAAACCUCAACUGCUCUUGAGUUGCAGUUUAGCUUAAAGUCCAGGACGGGCACUUUACCAAAUUGCACCUGUGCCAUCCUCACCUCCUGCAACUACAAAUCACAUACCAGAGGAGACUGACGUACCCAUCUUCUGAAGGGUCCACUUUGUCCACGGAGACCAGAGGGGAAUGUGGAACAAGGAUCUCUCUGGCCCUUCUCUCCUGAUCUUCAGCUACUGCCUUUCUUGUGACACGUGUGGCAACGCAUUUACAUUUCAGUGGCUCCGGACGGCUGUAUGGACUGCAUGUUGCCAUUGUGAUGCUAAGAACAAAUACACAGAAAGGAGUAGUCAGUGAGUCGAGUGAGAGGGGGGUCAGUGGGCCAGUGGUCUUAAACUUGGCAGUGGUCCAAUCAGAUGACGUCACCGAGGCGCAUAGUAACAAGAGGGUAAACUUCCUCUCUCUCUGUCUCUCUCCCUCCCUCCCUGUGUGUGGUUGUGUGUGUAUAUAUACAGGUUUGAUUGUAAUUGUUUGAGGGCCAAAUGUUCUCACUUGUAUAGGGAAAUAUCAUGACAACCAAGUUGUGAGAACACUAGUUAAAAGGGCUUAUAAAUGAGCCAAAACAUGUUUUUAUUCAAAUUUAGUGUUUUGCACACAUUGGGUUUAGGGCAGAGGUCCUGAAGGGCCGGUGUCCUGCAGAGUUUAGCUCCAUUCUUGCCUCAACACACAUGCUGGGAAGUUUUGUAGUAUGCCUAGUAAGAGCUUGAUAAGCUGGUUCAGGUGUGUUUAUUUGUCUAAACUCUACAGGACACUGGUCCUCCAGGACUGAGUUUGGGCACCUCUGUUGUUUAUCAUACUGUUAACUUGAUUGAUGUGAUCAUCAUGCAACUAACAAAUCUAAUUUGUCAUAUGUUUGUUUUCUACAGUAUAUCUGAUGCCUCCCGGAA